rnacentral:rRNA from 1 species
AGGCCAAACUAAUAGACAUUCGGCGUAAAGGGUGUUUUAGAUAUUACACGUAUUAAAUAAAGUUAAAAUUUAACUAGGCCGUAAAAAGCUUUAGUUAACAUUAAAUACAUUGACGAAAGUAACUUUAUUAAGUCUGAUCACACUACAGCUAAGAUCCAAACUGGGAUUAGAUACCCCACUAUGCUUAGCCCUAAACAUAAAAAAUUUUAAAACAAAAUUAUUCGCCAGAGAACUACUAGCUAAAGCUAAAAACUCAAAGGACUUGACGGUGCCUUAUAUCCAUCUAGAGGAGCCUGUUCUAUAAUCGAUAAACCCCGAUCUACCUUACCAAUCCUUGCCAAAC